UAAAACCGGCGUCGUGUUUUUGCUAAGAA
rnacentral:piRNA from 1 species